rnacentral:rRNA from 1 species
ACGCUGGCGGCACGCCUAAUACAUGCAAGUCGAACGAAGUAGCAAUACUUAGUGGCAGACGGGUGAGUAACAUGUAGGUAUCUUCCCUUUGGUGAGGAAUAACACGAGGAAACUUGUGCUAAUACCUCAUAAGUCUUUACGGAGAAAGCUUUAUGCGCCAAUGGAUGAGCCUGCACUUGAUUAGUUUGUUGGUGGGGUAAUGGCCUACCAAGACAAUGAUCAAUAGCUGAUUUGAGAGGAUGAUCAGCCACAUUGGGACUGAGACACGGCCCAAACUCCUACGGGAGGCAGCAGUAGGGAAUCUUGCACAAUGGGGGAAACCCUGAUGCAGCGAUGCCGCGUGAGUGAAGAAGGCCUUUGGGUUGUAAAGCUCUUUCGUCGGGGAAGAAAAUGACUGUACCCGAAUAAGAAGGUCCGGCUAACUUCGUGCCAGCAGCCGCGGUAAUACGAAGGGACCUAGCGUAGUUCGGAAUUACUGGGCUUAAAGAGUUCGUAGGUGGUUAAAAAAGUUGGUGGUGAAAUCCCAGAGCUUAACUCUGGAACUGCCAUCAAAACUUUUUAGCUAGAGUAUGAUAGAGGAAAGCAGAAUUUCUAGUGUAGAGGUGAAAUUCGUAGAUAUUAGAAAGAAUACCAAUUGCGAAGGCAGCUUUCUGGAUCAUUACUGACGCUGAGGAACGAAAGCAUGGGUAGCGAAGAGGAUUAGAUACCCUCGUAGUCCAUGCCGUAAACGAUGUGUGUUAGACGUUGGAAAUUUAUUUUCAGUGUCGCAGCGAAAGCAAUAAACACACCGCCUGGGGAGUACGACCGCAAGGUUAAAACUUCAAUGAAUUGACGGGUC